UAUAUAUAUAUAUAAGUGGUUACGUUUGUAUGUGCAUCAGUGUGUCUGCGUUUGUAUGCUUCUGUAUUUGUGUGUGUGUGUGCGUAUUGUAUUUGUAUGCGAGCCUAAAAUUUGUACUAUUGUAUAGUAAUUACUAUAGAGUCUUCGGCCGUUUAUAUUGUGCUUCAACAUCUAUACCAAGAGUGCUGUUAAAACGUUAGAGUCGAGUGAAGUAAAGGCAUGUAAACGCUAUUUUGGCGAUAUUUAGCCAAACUAAAAAAAAGCGCAAUUCACUUACAAUUCUAAUUGCUGAAUGAAAUGAAAAAAAUUCUACCAUAUAUUUUUUCUUAAAAAAAAAAAA